rnacentral:rRNA from 1 species
GCACAAGCGGUGGAUGAUGUGGUUUAAUUCGAUGCAACGCGAAAACUUACCCACCUUUGACAUGUACGGAACCCUUUAGAGAUAGAGGGGUGCUCGAAAGAGAGCCGUAACACAGGUGCUGCAUGGCUGUCGUCAGCUCGUGUCGUGAGAUGUUGGGUUAAGUCCCGCAACGAGCGCAACCCUUGUCAUUAGUUGCUACAUUCAGUUUGGGCACUCUAAUGAGACUGCCGGUGACAAGCCGGAGGAAGGUGGGGAUGACGUCAAGUCCUCAUGGCCCUUAUAGGUGGGGCUACACACGUCAUACAAUGGCCGGUACAGAGGGUAGCCAACCCGCGAGGGGGAGCCAAUCCCACAAAGCCGGUCGUAGUCCGGAUCGCAGUCUGCAACUCGACUGCGUGAAGUCGGAAUCGCUAGUAAUCGCGGAUCAGCAUGUCGCGGUGAAUACGCUCCCGGGUCUU